CCUGGGCGCACUGCCUUGCGGGUCACUGUGGUUGCUCCUGUGCUUCAGCGGGACUAGAAGCUGCCGCCCACGGGCAGCGGGGAAGAAAUCUGGGCAAAGCCAUGAGCCCUCCGAGGCUGAGCUCCAGUUGAGGGGCUCACCUGCCUUGCAUCGUUCCGAGUCCUGUACUGGACUGCAUCAGGCUGCGUCUCCUCAGGAAAUGGGAUCUUGGUUCCUGGCCAGCAUCCGGCCUCUCUGCACCUCACAGACGCUGCAAAUCCUUACUCAGUGACUUCAGGGAUACAGGUGGUACCUCUAAAUCCAAAAACUCCAAAUGUCCACCAGCUCCAGUCACAUUGGAGAUACAGGUGUGGUUUGCUCCUAAGACCCACCCAGCACACGUGAGAUGGGGAGACCUGGAUUGCAUCCCCAUGUCUGUCCCAGUGGAGAUAUCAUUGGAAAAGCUGCAGUGAUCUCUAUAAAAAUCUCAACCACCCGCUCCCGGUAGGUUCAGCGCUGCACUCUAAGAGGAGAAUGGGUCUGACUCCUCAAGGAGAUGCCUCUGGUCCAGGCUUUGUAAACUUGGGCCUUCCAGCCAGAUUCCUCCAAGCUCAGUGUCCGCUGCUGCUGGGCUGAGGGGAACCCCACUCCUUCACCACCGACUCCUGCUCCUGGCUGCACCUGCCCUUCCAACAGUGUCUCCUCUCAAGAAAGGGAGAAUCCUCCAGCCUUCUGUGCCUGCAUGCUGAGAACCCAUAGAGAGGAGCAUCCCUGGAGAAUCCCAGCUUGCAGCCAUCUUCCCUCAAGCGCAUUUCCAGUGUCCAGCCUGGCUUUCUGAUCAUUUUUGCUUUAGGAAGGCCUCCGACCAUGGCACUCUGGCCACGAAGAGGAGGAGCCUGUCACAAAGCACCAGUGGGAACUCACUGCCCCCGACACCUCCUGACGCAUCAGCUGGUGAGCACCAGAAGCCGGCCCAGUGCCCACAGCCAAGCCCACGUGGUGUGGCCC
rnacentral:lncRNA from 1 species